GGGCCCAUAGUUUAAUGGAUAGAACUGCAGGUUUCGGCCCUGUGAGUGGAGGUUCGAUUCCUCCUGGGCUCA
rnacentral:tRNA from 1 species